rnacentral:rRNA from 1 species
ACCUUCUUCGGAGGGUAUGCUUAAAGAGGGGCUUGCGUCACAUUAGUUAGUUGGUAGGGUAAUGGCCUACCAAGACGAUGAUGUGUAGCUGGACUGAGAGGUUGAACAGCCACAUUGGGACUGAGACACGGCCCAAACUCCUACGGGAGGCAGCAGUAGGGAAUUUUCGGCAAUGGAGGAAACUCUGACCGAGCAACGCCGCGUGAACGACGAAGUACUUCGGUAUGUAAAGUUCUUUUAUUGAAGAAGAAACAAUAGUGGAAAAACUAUCUUGACGUUAUUCAAUGAAUAAGCCCCGGCUAACUAUGUGCCAGCAGCCGCGGUAAUACAUAGGGGGCGAGCGUUAUCCGGAAUUAUUGGGCGUAAAGGGUGCGUAGGCGGUUUAAUAAGUCUCUAGUUUAAUUUCAACGCUUAACGUUGUCCUGCUAGAGAAACUGUUUGACUAGAGUGAGAUAGAGGUAAGCGGAAUUCCAUGUGUAGCGGUAAAAUGUGUAAAUAUAUGGAGGAACACCAGAGGCGUAGGCGGCUUACUGGGUCUUUACUGACGCUGAUGCACGAAAGCGUGGGGAGCAAACAGGAUUAGAUACCCUGGUAGUCCACGCCGUAAACUAUGAGUACUAAGUGUCGGGGUUAAACUCGGUACUGAAGUUAACACAUUAAGUACUCCGCCUGAGUAGUACGUACGCAAGUAUGAAACUUAAAGGAAUUGACGGGAUCCCGCACAAGCGGUGGAUCAUGUUGUUUAAUUCGAAGAUACACGAAAAACCUUACCAGGUCUUGACAUACUCUGCAAAACUAUAGAAAUAUAGUGGAGGUUAUCAGGGAUACAGGUGGUGCAUGGUUGUCGUCAGCUCGUGUCGUGAGAUGUUAGGUUAAGUUCUAAAACGAGCGCAACCCCUGUCGUUAAUUGCCAGCACGUUAUGGUGGGGACUUUAGCGAGACUGCCAAUGAAAAAUUGGAGGAAGGUGGGGAUUACGUCAAAUCAUCAUGCCCCUUAUGAUCUGGGCUACAAACGUGAUACAAUGGCUAUUACAAAGAGUAGCUUAAACGCGAGUUUUUGGCAAAUCUCAAAAAAAUAGUCUUAGUUCGGAUUGAAGUCUGCAACUCGACUUCAUGAAGUUGGAAUCGCUAGUAAUCGCGAAUCAGCAUGUCGCGGUGAAUACGUU